UCCGUAGGUGAACCUGCGGAGGGAUCAUUACAGAGUUGCAAAACUCCCUAAACCAUUGUGAACGUUACCUAUACCGUUGCUUCGGCGGGCGGCCCCGGGGUUUACCCCCCGGGCGCCCCUGGGCCCCACCGCGGGCGCCCGCCGGAGGUCACCAAACUCUUGAUAAUUUAUGGCCUCUCUGAGUCUUCUGUACUGAAUAAGUCAAAACUUUCAACAACGGAUCUCUUGGUUCUGGCAUCGAUGAAGGACGCAGCGAAAUGCGAUAAGUAAUGUGAAUUGCAGAAUUCAGUGAAUCAUCGAAUCUUUGAACGCACAUUGCGCCCGCCAGCAUUCUGGCGGGCAUGCCUGUUCGAGCGUCAUUUCAACCAUCAAGCCCCCGGGCUUGUGUUGGGGACCUGCGGCUGCCGCAGGCCCUGAAAAGCAGUGGCGGGCUCGCUGUCGCACCGAGCGUAGUAGCAUACAUCUCGCUCUGGUCGCGCCGCGGGUUCCGGCCGUUAAACCACCUUUUAACCCAAGGUUGACCUCGGAUCAGGUAGGAAGACCCGCUGAACUUAAGCAUAUCAAUAAGCGGAGGA
rnacentral:rRNA from 1 species